AUUGGAGGUCUGUCCAUAGUGUUUAUAAUAGAUGUACUGCUCAUCUCUCUGGUAGAUUGGAGGUCUGUCCAUAGUGUUUAUAAUAGAUGUACUGCUCAUCUCUCUGGUAGAUUGGAGGUCUGUCCAUAGUGUUUAUAAUAGAUGUACUGCUCAUCUCUCUGGUAGAUUGGAGGUCUGUCCAUAGUGUUUAUAAUAGAUGUACUGCUCAUCUCUCUGGUAGAUUGGAGGUCUGUCCAUAGUAUUUAUAAUAGAUGUACUGCUCAUCUCUCUGGUAGAUUGGAAGCCUGUCCAUAGAGGAGUGUCUAUAAUAGAUGUACUGUUCAUCUCUCUGGUAGAUUGGAGGUCUGUCCAUAUUAUUUAUAAUAUAUGUACUGCUCAUCUCUCUGGUAGAUUGGAGGCCUGUCCAUAGUGUUUAUAAUAGAUGUACUGUUCAUCUCUCUGGUAGAUUGGAGGUCUGUCCAUAGAGGAGUGUUUAUAAUAGAUGUACUGUUCAUCUCUCUGGUAGAUUGGAGGCCUGUCCAUAGUGUUUAUAAUAGAUGUACUGUUCAUCUCUCUGGUAGAUUGGAGGUCUGUCCAUAGUGUUUAUAAUAGAUGUACUGCUCAUCUCUCUGGUAGAUUGGAGGUCUGUCCAUAGUGUUUAUAAUAGAUGUACUGCUCAUCU